CGUAUAUUAAAGUUGUUGCGGUUAAAAAGCUCGUAGUUGGAUUUCUGUCGAGGACGGCCCGUCCGCCUUUCGGGCGUGUAUGUGGUUCGUGCUUGGCAUCCUCUUGGGAGACGUUUCUGUGCUUCAUUGCAUGGGGCGGAAUUCAAGACUUUUACUUUGAGGAAAUUAGAGUGUUCACGGCAAGCUAUCGCUUUGAAUACAUUAGCAUGGAAUAAUAAUAUAGGGCGUAAGUUCUAUUUUGUUGGUUUCUAGGACAUACGCAAUGAUUAAUAGGGACAAUUGGGGGCAUUCGUAUUAACGCGUCAGAGGUGGAAUUCUUAGAUUGCGUUACGACGAACUACUGCGAAAGCAUUUGCCAAGGAUGUUUUCAUUGAUCAAGAACGAAAGUAUGGGGAUCGAAGACGAUUAGAUACCGUCGUAGUCUAUACCAUAAACUAUGCCAAUUAGAGAUUGGAAGUCGUUCGUUUAUUGACUCUUUCAGAAUCUUAUGAGAAAUCAAAAUUUUUGGGUUCCGGGGGGAGUAUGGUCGCAAGGCUGAAACUUAAA
rnacentral:rRNA from 1 species